GAUGAACGCUAGCGGGAGGCCUAACACAUGCAAGCCGAGCGGUAUUGUUUCUUCGGAAAUGAGAGAGCGGCGUACGGGUGCGUAACACGUGUGCAACCUGCCUUUAUCUGGGGGAUAGCCUUUCGAAAGGAAGAUUAAUACUCCAUAAUAUAUUGAACGGCAUCGUUUAAUAUUGAAAGCUCCGGCGGAUAGAGAUGGGCACGCGCAAGAUUAGCUAGUUGGUGAGGUAACGGCUCACCAAGGCGAUGAUCUUUAGGGGGCCUGAGAGGGUGAUCCCCCACACUGGUACUGAGACACGGACCAGACUCCUACGGGAGGCAGCAGUGAGGAAUAUUGGUCAAUGGGUGCAAGCCUGAACCAGCCAUCCCGCGUGAAGGACGACUGCCCUAUGGGUUGUAAACUUCUUUUGUAUAGGGAUAAACCUACCCUCGUGAGGGUAGCUGAAGGUACUAUACGAAUAAGCACCGGCUAACUCCGUGCCAGCCGCCGCGGUAA
rnacentral:rRNA from 1 species